GCAGAGUAGCUGUCGACAUUAUUGUUGCGCAGGCACUUUGGCGACUCUAGAGAACCUCGGGCCAAUCGCACGUCCCCGUGACAGCGACUUUGCAUUCAGAUGCCUGCCCUUUGAACUUUCAAUGCCACUUUCUGCACCUACCAUAGUGACUAUGGUUAACGGGGAAUCAGGGUUCGAUUCCGGAGAGGCAGCCUGAGAAACGGCUACCACAUCCAAGAAAGGCAGCAGGCGCGCUAAUUACCCACUUCUGACGCAGGGAGGUAGUGAC